rnacentral:rRNA from 1 species
UACGGAGGGUGCAAGCGUUUAUCCGGAUUUACUGGGUUUAAAGGGUGUGUAGGCGGGCCAUUAAGUCAGGGGUGAAAUCCCGGAGCUCAACUCCGGAACUGCCUUUGAUACUAUUGGUCUUGAAUGUUGUUGAGGUGGGCGGAACGGGUCAUGUAGCGGUGAAAUGCAUAGAUAUGACCCGGAACACCGAUUGACGAAGGCAGCCCGCUAAGCAACUAUUGACGCGAGGCACGAAAGCGUGGGGAUCAAACAGG